UGGCAGAAUACAUUUAAAAAGCAAAGGGA
rnacentral:piRNA from 1 species